UGAGUAACCUGCCCUUCACUCUGGGAUAACUCCGGGAAACCGGGGCUAAUACUGGAUAUGACUCGAACAGGCAUCUGUUUCGGGUGGAAAGAUUUUAUUGGUGGAGGAUGGACUCGCGGCCUAUCAGCUUGUUGGUGAGGUAAUGGCUCACCAAGGCGACGACGGGUAGCCGG
rnacentral:rRNA from 1 species